UUACAGGCAUGCACCACCAUGCCCGGCUGCAUCCAGACUUAAAAGAGGCUGAGAAAUACAGAUUACCUGUGUACCAGAUUGGGAAAAGAAACACAUACUGGACAUGGCUGGCACUGAGAAAGAGAUUAGUUAAUAAUGAUUAAAUGAAUGAAUAAGUGAAUAACUUCCUGGAAGCAAAAGAAGUCUUGGCAAUGAAGGGGAAUGUAGGCAACCAAGAAUGCUAAAGGGAAGAACACUAAUGAAGGUCAAAUAUGUAUUAUGAGACAGAUACAUACCUUCCAAAGCAUCUGAUGAUUCACCUACCAGGAGAAGCUCUGAAGCAUCCACAAAUUUGUGACAGCAUCACACCCCCCAAAAAUCCAGAGGAUGUAAUCAAUCAAGAAAAACUGCAGGAUAAGGCUUAUAAUGAGUCAAACAUGGACAUCUGAGGAAAAGGUAGGCUGAAAACCAACAGGAAGAUGAUAUUGUGAAGCAACAGAACAAAUCAGCAGCUUCAGUCAGCUGAGUUUAUGCUUUGGUUUUCUGCCCUCUAUCUCUACUAAAUAAAAAUUAGAGUGAAAAAUUACAAGCAACAC